CGCGGUAGGGAGCGAAGGGUCGCUGGCUGCCCCACUUCUGCCUUUUAAUCUUCACCUUCCAAUAACCACCGCUUGCAUUAUUGGAACGUCUCCUCCCUUCUCAUCUUCUUUUAUAUAACGACACGUACGCGAGUUGUUCUGCUAAUUAUGAUUCAAGAAGAGAAGUGGGUAUGAAGGUUGAUGCUGCUGCUUCCUGGAUGACUACGAGGACUGGAGGAGGUUGUUUCUUUCCAUGCCAUGAUAUCCAUUAUUGUAGGUUCAUCCUCAGUCCAGCUAAAUAUGUAAGUCUCUCUUUAUAAUCUAUAUGAUGCAAAUUGGGCCAUUUUUCGAAUAGUUUGUAAUACCUUCAUCCAUGUUUUUACUUUUUAAUGGUCCUAAUACCUUCAUCCUUUUCUUUCUCUCUAUUUUUUUAUCUCUCCCUUGGAGCACUAUUUGUGCCAGUGGAAAGUCACUCCUUUCAAUCUCUUCUUUGGAUUACUUCACUUUCUUUGCAGGUUUAUUCCAUGGAGGAUUACAUGAAUUCCCGUCUGUUUUUUUUUCAAUUGCUAACUAUACAUUUCCUAUCAAGCCUUCAAUUUCUGCUGCUUCAUGUCUAUAAAAUCGAGCGAUGUUAUCCACUGAUCCACACAAUUAUCAAGGAAACUGUCGAUCGAGAAGCCAUGUUGUAUAUAUAACACUAGCGUAAAGGGAAUAGUAUUGGCAUGUCCUGUUUUGUUUCUUCAGGUUAGAUAAUGACUCUGUCACAUGCACGGCAGCAGGUAUCUUCCUCUGUCAACACACACUGUAUUGCAUUGGUUAUAUUUUUCAUUGUUGGUUGCUUUACAGAUAUAUUUUUAGAUAUAAUAGAAUAAAAUACCAGCCUUUGCCUCGCACAUAGCCGUGCUUUACAGAUAUUAGAUUGGUGUUUUGUCUCAAUUGCCACUAUUGCAGGUUUGCCACUAUGCAGCUCAUGUCCGGCCAGCAACUGCAUUGCUAAUGACUGUCACUGUGUGAAGCCUUUUGGAUUAUUUGGCAUAAUUUUGGUGCAGCAACGCAUGGGGUAUCAUCAACUUAUUAUUAUCAGAGAGCGCACUUUCUGUUGCUUUGAAGGCAAAGUGAGCUACUGGAGCAUCGAUCGGCAGGACCUGACUCACCUGAGGAUGUUUUUACAGACAUGAGUUGUAAUGGUACAUAUGAUAUGCAAGUUAUUUACUCCGUACAUUACAAGUUAUUUACAUCUCAGGAAGAUCAUGUACCAAACUACCUAUCGUGCUGCAACAUGACCAUGAGCAGGACUGUAAGGUUACGCAAAAAUGACGAAUAUGCCUUUUAUGUAUCCAUGCUUGCCUCACCUCUCGGAGUGUACGAGGAAGAAAACUAA